rnacentral:piRNA from 1 species
UAAUACCUGCUGGAGAGCGAUUUCCUA